rnacentral:misc_RNA from 1 species
AACGCACAUUGCGCCCUCUGGUAUUCCGGGGGGCAUGCCUGUUCGAGCGUCAUUACAACCCUCAAGCUCUGCUUGGUAUUAGGCUCCACCUGCUACAGGCGGGCCUUAAAAUCAGUGGCGGUGCCAUCUGGCUUCAAGCGUAGUAAUAUUUCUCGUUUGGGAGUACCGGUUGCGUACCUGCUAUAAAACCCCAAUUUUUAAAGGUUGACCUCGGAUCAGGUAGGGAUACCCGCUGAACUUAA